GUUAUUGUGGACAUUCUGGGCGAGCGGUCAAUACAUUUGUUGACACUCCCAAGGAAGGGAUAUCUUGAGAACAUGGUUAACCCAGUAUAGAGAGGAUUUGGGGAGGGUUCGUAUAAAAUGUUUAGUCGCCUUCGGAUUGAUCCGCCAGAUCGGCUGUUGUAGUAGUAAACACCUCCAAACCUGUAACGGUUCGGGGUUUAAAGGGAUGAGCCCGGAUAUGGCAAUGUAGACAAAGGUCCCAAGCCUUUUGGGGGCGUAGCAGCCUGAUACCUUUGCAUAUGUGAUAAGCCUGAUAGGGUUAGUUGGAGUUACUUUCGCUAAGAAAGUCUUUUGGCACUUCUAAAAAAUGUGCAGAUAAGGGGUGGCCAAGUUUGGUGUCAGCCGCGCGGUAAUACCAGCACCCGAGUGGUCGGGACGAUUAUGGGGCGUAAAGCAUCCGUAGCCGGUUCUGCCAGUCCCCCGUUAAAUCCAGCUGCUCAACAGAUGGGCCGCGGAGGAUACUACAGAGCUAGGAGGCAGGAGAGGCAAGCGGUACUCGAUGGGUAGGGGUAAAAUCCGUUGAUUCAUUGAAGACCACCAGUGGCGAAGGCGGCUUGCCAGAAUGCGCUCGACGGUGAGGGAUGAAAGCUGGGGGAGCAAACCGGAUUAGAUACCCGGGUAGUCCCAGCCGUAAACGAUGCAGACUCGGUGAUGGGUUGGCUUCGCGCUAACCCAGUGCCGCAGGGAAGCCGUUAAGUCUGCCGCCUGGGUAGUACGGUCGCAAGACUGAAACUUAAAGGAAUUGGCGGGGGAGCACCACAAGGGGUGAAGCCUGCGGUUCAAUUGGACUCAACGCCGGU
rnacentral:rRNA from 1 species